UUGAUGGAAAUACGCAAGAUCCAUUUUUAGGCAAAAGGGGCUGAAACACUUAUUAAGAGCUGAGAAAUGAGACAGUGCUUGGAAGCGAAUCAGAGAGAGGCUGGCUUACCCUGUGAAUGAUUCCUGCAGAGUGAAGGUGUUUGAUACCACACAGCAUCUGAUAGAGCAGUGAGAUGACUUAAAGGUGAAUUGCCAAACUUUCAAAAUCCUGCAUAUCUCAGGAAAUUCAGAAACAAAUGACUGUCUAGUUUCUUCUUGAAAACCUCUAGUGAUGGAGCACCAACAACUUUUGGAGGAGAAAGACGAGUGCUGGGACAAGAUUUCUGCUUCAAAACCCGUCAAAUACCAAAUUCGCCGAGUUUUAAGCAGUCAAGUGCUGAGUUGGUGUGAAAGCUACCGGGGAAAUCUUCUGCCCAACACCCUCAGAUGCCUGCUGUGUAACGACAUGUCUUGAAGCAAGUAUCAGAAAUCAAAUGACAACGGCAAUAGAAAAUCAGUAGGGACCCAUAAUGAAAACUGGCAUCUCCUGCUGGCAACUUAUUUUCCCACCCAGUAUUCCGAUAGAAAUGCAGAUAAACAUGCCUUAAUUUUGGAAAAUA